GACGAACGCUGGCGGCGUGCUUAACACAUGCAAGUCGAGCGGAGCGGCGAACGGGUGAGUAACGCGUGAGUAACUGCCCUCCUCCCUGGGACAACAGUUGGAAACGGCUGCUAAUACCGGAUAGUGGGGGAUGACUCGCGUCCUAUCAGCUUGUGGGUGGGGUAGUGGCCUACCAAGGCGACGCCGGGUAGCCGGCCUGAGAGGGCGACCGGCCACAUUGGAAUGAGAUAGAUCCCAGAGUGCUGCGGGAGGCGGCAUUGGGGGAUAUUGCACAAUGGGCGAAGGCCUGAUGCAGCGACGCCGCGUGGGGGAUGGAGGCGUUCGGGUUGUAAACCUCUUUCGCGAUCGAAAGGGUAGGUGGAGAAGAAGCGCCGGCUAACUACGUGCCAGCCGCCGCGGUAAUUC
rnacentral:rRNA from 1 species